GCUGGGCGCGGUGGCGCACACCUGUAAUCCCAGCAGCUCAGGAGGCUGAGGCAAGAGGAUCACAAGUUCAAAGCCAACCCCUGCAAAAAGCAAGGCACUAAGCAACUCAGAGACCUGUCUCUA
rnacentral:sRNA from 1 species